UACGGGGGGAGCAAGCGUUGUUCGGAUUUACUGGGCGUAAAGGGCUCGUAGGCGGCCAACUAAGUCAGACGUGAAAUCCCUCGGCUUAACCGGGGAACUGCGUCUGAUACUGGAUGGCUAGAGGUUGGGAGAGGGAUGCGGAAUUCCAGGUGUAGCGGUGAAAUGCGUAGAUAUCUGGAGGAACACCGGUGGCGAAGGCGGCAUCCUGGACCAAUUCUGACGCUGAGGAGCGAAAGCCAGGGGAGCAAACGGG
rnacentral:rRNA from 1 species